UACGAAGGGGGCUAGCGUUGCUCGGAAUGACUGGGCGUAAAGGGCGCGUAGGCGGAUGGCACAGUCAGAUGUGAAAUUCCCGGGCCUAACCUGGGGGCUGCAUUUGAUACGUGUUGUCUUGAGUUCGGAAGAGGGUCGUGGAAUUCCCAGUGUAGAGGUGAAAUUCGUAGAUAUUGGGAAGAACACCGGUGGCGAAGGCGGCGACCUGGUCCGACACUGACGCUGAGGCGCGAAAGCGUGGGGAGCAAACAGG
rnacentral:rRNA from 1 species